rnacentral:rRNA from 1 species
UGCGUAGGCGGCUUAGUAAGUUGGGUGUGAAAGCCCUCGGCUCAACCGAGGAAUUGCGCCCAAAACUACUAAGCUUGAGGGAGGCAGAGGUAAGCGGAACUAAUGGUGGAGCGGUGAAAUGCGUUGAUAUCAUUAGGAACACCUGAGGCGAAAGCAGCUUACUGGGUCUCUUCUGACGCUGAGGCACGAAAGCUAGGGGAGCGAACG